GCGUGGGUGAAGAAGGUCUUCGGAUUGUAAAGCCCUUUCGGCGGGGACGAUGAUGACGGUACCCGCAGAAGAAGCCCCGGCUAACUUCGUGCCAGCAGCCGCGGUAAUACGAAGGGGGCUAGCGUUGCUCGGAAUGACUGGGCGUAAAGGGCGCGUAGGCGGCUUGGUUUGUCAGACGUGAAAGUCCUGGGCUCAACCUGGGGAUGGCGUUUGGGACGGCUGGGCUGGAGUGGGGAAGAGGGUCGUGGAAUUCCCAGUGUAGAGGUGAAAUUCGU
rnacentral:rRNA from 1 species